rnacentral:rRNA from 1 species
UACGUAGGGGGCUAGCGUUGUCCGGAUUUAUUGGGCGUAAAGAGCGUGUAGGCGGCCAGGUAGGUCUGCUGUGAAAACUCGAGGCUCAACCUCGAGACGUCGGCGGAAACCAUCUGGCUAGAGUCCGGAAGAGGAGAGUGGAAUUCCUGGUGUAGCGGUGAAAUGCGCAGAUAUCAGGAGGAACACCGGUGGCGAAGGCGGGUCUCUGGGCCGACACUGACACUGAGAGACGAAAGCUAGGGGAGCAAAUGGG